rnacentral:rRNA from 1 species
UAGGGAAUCUUCGGCAAUGGGGGCAACCCUGACCGAGCAACGCCGCGUGAGUGAAGAAGGUUUUCGGAUCGUAAAGCUCUGUUGUAAGAGAAGAACGUGUGUGAGAGUGGAAAGUUCACACAGUGACGGUAACUUACCAGAAAGGGACGGCUAACUACGUGCCAGCAGCCGCGGUAAUACGUAGGUCCCGAGCGUUGUCCGGAUUUAUUGGGCGUAAAGCGUGCGCAGGCGGUUUAAUAAGUCUGAAGUUAAAGGCAGUGGCUUAACCAUUGUUCGCUUUUGUAACUGUUUAACUUGAGUGCAGAAGGGGAGAGGGGAAUUCCAUGUGUAGCGGUGAAAUGCGUAGAUAUAUGGAGGAACACCGGUGGCGAAAGCGGCUCUCUGGUCUGUAACUGACGCUGAGGCUCGAAAGCGUGGGGAGCAAACAGG